rnacentral:ncRNA from 1 species
AAAUGAUAACUUUGAAGAGUGAAGUGGGGAAAUGUUCCAUGUGAACAUCACUUGGACAUGGUCGGUUAACUGAUCCUAAGAGAUGGGGGAUCCUUGUAUCAAGGGUGCACUCUGCAUGAACAUCGAAAGAGAAUUGGGUUAAUAUUCCCGAACUGGGAUGUGGUGGUGGACGACAAUGUUAGGAAAUUUGGAGAUGUCAUCGGGGGCCUGUGAAGAGUUAUCUUUUAUUUUUAACGUAUUUGACUCAUAACCACUACAAUUUUUAGAAUCUCAAACCCCUAAACCCUUGAAAAUUUAACCCUAAUCUUUAACCCUUAUAACCCUAAACAUGUACAUUAACUAUUACAUCUAUCCAUUUUUAGUACUAGUCUAUCACCUAUGUUAACCCUAAUC